GACGAACUGUGCAAACGUUAUUCGGAAUCACUGGGCUUGAAGAGUGCGUAGGCGGUUUUGUAAGUAGGGUGUGAAAGCCCCCGGCCCAACCGGGGAAUUGCGCCCUAAACUGCAAGGCUAGAGUGAGGCAGGGGUGUGUGGAACUUCCAGUGGAGCGGUGAAAUGUGUUGAUAUUGGAAGGAACGCCGGUGGCGAAAGCGACACACUGGGCCUUGUCUGACGCUGAGGCACGAAAGCCAGGGGAGCAAACGGGG
rnacentral:rRNA from 1 species